CGUGUAACAAAUAAACGCUAAAUAAACAAAAAGUUUAAAUAUAACUAAAACGAAAAAAAAAAUUAAUUAAAUAAGAGGAAAAACAAAGUAAAGUAAUUAAAAAAAAUAAGUAUUAAAAUGUAAAAGGAAUUGAAGAAAUAUCUUAGAAAAAAAUCGCUUAACGAAAUAACGGGUACGCUGGAAUACGUAUUCUAAGUGAAAUGAAUUAUAAACAUAAUAGAAAAUAUAAAAGGAAAACAAAUAAUAGAAGAAUUAAAGAAAUACUCCUCUUAAAUUAAUAAAAACCUAAAGUAAAUUCUCUAUAAAAAUAAAGCUAAAGAAAACAUCAUGGUAAAUUAAUCUAGAUAAAAAAGGUAAAUAAGAAAACCUUGUGCUUUUUUACGGAAUUUUAACGUCUGUAUAUUUAUCACUUAAUACCACAAAAUAAACGAGAUUAUUGCGCCGCAAAAUUACUUUCCCCCAAAAAAAGAAAAGAAAUAACAACGAUUUAAAUUGUGUCCGAAGUGAUUUUGUUUUUCAUCUUCAAUACAUGCGAAAUACAUGUCAGUUAUUUAAAAUGUGAGAAAACAUGUGUCAAGUAGUUUAACAUUUAAUCAUUUAAUAAUAUUUUACUUGUAGUUAUUGUUGUAAAGGAGUGCAUUAUAUUUUAAUGUAACGCUACAGAAUCUGUGCUUGUAACGACAUCCUUGUUAUGUUAAACUAUAUUUAAAACAGUGGUUAAUGAAGCAAACAAAAACAACAAGUAUUCCAAAAAAAAAUUAAAACAAAAACGAUACAACAAUAAUAAUAUUAACAAUUCGUACGCGUUUAUCCGUGUUAGUGUUUUUUUCCGGUUGUUAACAUUUCGUAACAGCAUUUUUGUGCAUCAAUUCAAAAUUUUUGCAUGUUUUUUCCUAGAGAAUACAAAAAAAUUUUAUUACUGGGUAUUUUUCUUUUUUACCAUAUUUUGUUUCUAUUAAUGUGUGCAUAUGUGUGCGUCCAUUGCAAGUGUUGUUGCAUUAAGAGCUCUUGUCCUUGUAUGUCCAUGAAAGUGUGCCUGCAAAUGUGAGUGUUUGUUUACAUUAAACUCUCAAAUAUCAUUAACUAUCAGUCAAUAUCAUUGUUACGUGUCAAUUUUUAGUUCUCCACACAAGAACAAAAAUUGUAUGUGAAAAUCAUUUUUGUUUUAUUUUACAUACAAUUUGACAUACAUACAUACUUGAUUGUUUUUAUUUAAAUAUAUUUAUAUGUAAAAUAGAAGUGAAAAAGGUUGCCCUUAACGGUAAUUUGACACUUAAGGUUCAAUAGCAAAAAUAAAUACAGUGAAAAAAGUAUCUUAUCAUAUCUGCAUUAACAAACACUAUUAAUUACAUUUUUAUCUUUGCAGGUGUAAUCCACAUUUCAGCAGUGGCAAAAUAGUGCACAAAGUGAA